rnacentral:lncRNA from 1 species
AUAAGUGUGUUUCUGGUCGACAUUUUCACCAGACAAGGAAAGGUUCUUCUCUUGAACCCUAAAUUACAAAGAAAUGCUCAAAUCAAAGGGGAAAUCAAGCUAAAAAUUGGGGCUUUUAUUAAAUUCAAUGAUCACCAAGUCAUGGGAAUCACAAGUUUGACUCUUGACGAGCUAGGUGAAGCUUGGAGGAGAUGAUCAAACGGGAUAAAGACACGAGUAAGACUUGCUUGGAUGAAAGGUAAGUAAAGCUUACACCUAUUUUUUUUUAUUAGCAUACGUAUUUAUUCUAUAGGUGAUAAAUACAACAAUAGAUCAUGUUCGAAUUAUGGGUUCCGACACGAAACAAAAUGGGUCGGAACGAAUAAAAACGUUUAAAAUCAUGAUUAUUGGUGAAAGAGGUAAAAUGGUAAUUUAGUCAUAAAUCGACUAAGAAUUUAUGAGUUUUCUUAAAGUUACCUCAUAGCUUAACUAAUAAUGGAAAAAGGGGUAAAAUGGUAAUUUGGUCACGUGAUGACUAAUUUAAUCGAGAUUAAAAGGAUACCCACGGCGUAAGCCGAACUGGGUCAAAUGUGUAAGAAAAAAAAGGGAAAUUUUUAUGGUAAAAUCCGUAAUGGGUCGGAUGCGUGAUUGAGUAAUUAGAAACCAUGAUUUGUAAUAAAUAUAAUUGUUUGGUCGUAUAGACCAAAUGGGUCAAAUGAUGGUGAUAACAUCAUAUGACCAUAUCGACUAAUGUUGGUUGUUAAGUCAUAUGUUUACAGGAACGAAUAGCAAUUUGGAUAAUUGCGUCGUCAUAGAAUAUUGAAUUAAUAAUAGCAAGGUAUAAACGGGUCUAUACGUUGACUCGAGCCAGGUACGCUUAUAUAUAGAUUUAUAGUUAAAAGUGUUUAACUUCCCUUAACGGGUCAAAAUGAGUAGAUAGGUAAAACGGGUUAAGAAUUCAUAAGAAACCCGUAAUUUGAACCUUGCAUAUUAGUAAAUUGAUAUAACGUGAUAUGCAUGAUAUUUUGAAAAGGUAAUAAACAAGUUUGUUUGAUAAAUCACGAACGGGUCAAAAAGUGUCAUAAUUGAAUUUCAAGCCGAGAGCUUGAAAGUUAAAAUUUUGUGAAUUUAGAUGUCGGGUUUUCACUCCGUAAGAUGGAGGAUUAAAUUACGAACGCGUAGGAAAAAGAAUCGCGAAAAACGGACUUGUAGAAUGAAAGUUAUGCCAAUUUAAAGUUUGAAAUUUGUUAAAAUUGGAGCUGGGCAGAAAAUUGCAGGUUCAGAUAUAAACCUGCUGGAAACUGGUCACCCCCGCGACACGCGAAGGGGAAACAAGGUCCGGGCGCGACACGCGACAGGUGUCGCGGCACGCGACACAUCUAGUUGAGUCUCUCGCGACACGUGAGAGACAUAAAGGCUGAAAAAAAAUUAUUAUUUUGGUUAAUUGUUUGAUGCGUAGAACUUGUUUAAACUUAUAUUUAAGUUAUCAAAACUAACUUUUAGGUUGGUUUUGAUCACAGGUGAAUAUCGAAAGUACCCGGACGAAGAUCAAGCGACGAGAAAGAACCGAACACAUGAAGAAGAAGCUUCCGCACGUAGUUUCGUCGAAUUUUUUAAACGACAAACUAACUACAUUAUGUUGUUCUAAACUUUAAAUUAUAAAAUUUUUAAUAAACCCGUACUUUGUAAUGUAUAUGUGCUCUUAAUCACAUGUUUAUUAUCUUAAAUUAUACGAAAAUCGUUAAAUAAUAUUAAGGGUGUUACAUGAACCCUUAU